CCUACGGGAGGCAGCAGUGAGGAAUAUUGGUCAAUGGGCGCGAGCCUGAACCAGCCAAGUAGCGUGAAGGAUGACUGCUCUAUGAGUUGUAAACUUCUUUUAUAAAGGAAUAAAGUGAGGCACGUGUGUCUGUUUGUAUGUACUUUAUGAAUAAGGAUCGACUAACUCCGUGCCAGCAGCCGCGGUAAUACGGAGGAUCCGAGCGUUAUCCGGAUUUAUUGGGUUUAAAGGGAGCGUAGAUGGGUUGUUAAGUCAGUUGUGAAAGUUUGCGGCUCAACCGUAAAAUUGCAUUUGAUACUGGCAGGCUUGAGUUCAGUUGAGGUAGGCGGAAUUGAUGGUGUAGCGGUGAAAUGCUUAGAUAUCACAAAGAACUCCGAUUGCGAAGGCAGCUUACUAAACUGCCACUGACAUUGAUGCUCGAAAGUGUGGGUAUCAAACAGGAUUAGAUACCCUAGUAGUC
rnacentral:rRNA from 1 species